GGACUAACAAGGUCUCCGUAGGUGAACCUGCGGAGGGAUCAUUACACAAAUAUGAAGGCGGGCUGGAACCUCUCGGGGUUACAGCCUUGCUGAAUUAUUCACCCUUGUCUUUUGCGUACUUCUUGUUUCCUUGGUGGGUUCGCCCACCACUAGGACAAACAUAAACCUUUUGUAAUUGCAAUCAGCGUCAGUAACAAAUUAAUAAUUACAACUUUCAACAACGGAUCUCUUGGUUCUGGCAUCGAUGAAGAACGCAGCGAAAUGCGAUAAGUAGUGUGAAUUGCAGAAUUCAGUGAAUCAUCGAAUCUUUGAACGCACAUUGCGCCCUUUGGUAUUCCAAAGGGCAUGCCUGUUCGAGCGUCAUUUGUACCCUCAAGCUUUGCUUGGUGUUGGGCGUCUUGUCUCUAGCUUUGCUGGAGACUCGCCUUAAAGUAAUUGGCAGCCGGCCUACUGGUUUCGGAGCGCAGCACAAGUCGCACUCUCUAUCAGCAAAGGUCUAGCAUCCAUUAAGCCUUUUUCAACUUUGACCUCGAUCAGGUAGAUCUCGCCGA
rnacentral:rRNA from 1 species